rnacentral:rRNA from 1 species
AAAGCAGGCUCGCGCUUGAAUACAUUAGCAUGGAAUAAUGAAAUAGGACGUUUGAUUCUAUUUUGUUGGUUUCUAGGAUCGACGUAAUGAUUAAUAGGGAUAGUUGGGGGCAUUAGUAUUCAAUUGUCAGAGGUGAAAUUCUUGGAUUUAUUGAAGACUAACUACUGCGAAAGCAUUUGCCAAGGAUGUUUCAUUAAUCAAGAACGAAAGUUAGGGGAUCGAAGACGAUCAGAUACCGUCGUGGUCUUAACCAUAAACUAUGCCGACUAGGGAUCGGAUGAUGUUAAUUUUUUUAAUGACUCAUUCGGCGCCUUACG